rnacentral:rRNA from 1 species
CCUACGGGGUGCAGCAGUGGGGAAUAUUGCACAAUGGGCGCAAGCCUGAUGCAGCCAUGCCGCGUGUGUGAAGAAGGCCUUCGGGUUGUAAAGCACUUUCAGCGGGGAGGAAGGCGUUAAGGUUAAUAACCUUGGCGAUUGACGUUACCCGCAGAAGAAGCACCGGCUAACUCCGUGCCAGCAGCCGCGGUAAUACGGAGGGUGCAAGCGUUAAUCGGAAUUACUGGGCGUAAAGCGCACGCAGGCGGUCUGUCAAGUCGGAUGUGAAAUCCCCGGGCUCAACCUGGGAACUGCAUUCGAAACUGGCAGGCUAGAGUCUUGUAGAGGGUGGUAGAAUUCCAGGUGUAGCGGUGAAAUGCGUAGAGAUCUGGAGGAAUACCGGUGGCGAAGGCGGCCCCCUGGACAAAGACUGACGCUCAGGUGCGAAAGCGUGGGGAGCAAACAGGAUUAGAUACCCGAGUAGUC